rnacentral:rRNA from 1 species
AUACGGAGGGUGCAAGCGUUAAUCGGAAUUACUGGGCGUAAAGCGUACGUAGGCGGUUCGUUAAGUUAGAUGUGAAAGCCCCGGGCUUAACCUGGGAACUGCAUUUAAAACUGGCGAACUAGAGUUGAGUAGAGGGGAGUGGAAUUUCAGGUGUAGCGGUGAAAUGCGUAGAGAUCUGAAGGAACACCAGUGGCGAGGGCGGCUCCCUGGACUCAAACUGACGCUGAGGUACGAAAGCGUGGGUAGCAAACGGGAUUAGAAACCCUAGUAGUCC